UACAGAGGUCCCAAGCGUUGUUCGGAUUCAUUGGGCGUAAAGGGUGCGUAGGCGGCGCGGUAAGUCGGGUGUGAAAUCUCGGAGCUUAACUCCGAAACUGCAUUCGAUACUGCCGUGCUUGAGGACUGGAGAGGAGACUGGAAUUUACGGUGUAGCGGUGAAAUGCGUAGAUAUCGUAAGGAAGACCAGUGGCGAAGGCGGGUCUCUGGACAGUACCUGACGCUGAGGCACGAAGGCCAGGGGAGCAAACGGG
rnacentral:rRNA from 1 species